GAAAUGCGAUAAGUAAUGUGAAUUGCAGAAUUCAGUGAAUCAUCGAAUCUUUGAACGCACAUUGCGCCCGGCAGUAUUCUGCCGGGCAUGCCUGUCCGAGCGUCAUUUCAACCCUCGGGACCCCGUUUAGGCGGGGACCCGGCGUUGGUGACCGGCCGCCUUGCCAUAAAAGCCCAAACUUUUUUGUUUUCUAUGGUUGACCUCGGAUCAGGUAGGAAUACCCGCUGAACUUAAGC
rnacentral:misc_RNA from 1 species